GACAUAGUUGUUUUAUAUAUUUUUCAAGCAACAAAUAGAAAGGGAAACAGGAACAAAGAAACAUGAGAUGGAAUAUCAUUUGAGACAAUGAAACAGCAACCGCGAAUAAGUUCACAAACUUUUUCAGCCGCUCUGCACUUACAACUAGAGCUGCGUAUUAUUGUUGGCAUAGUUGUUUUAUAUAUAUUUCAAGCAACAAACAGAAAGGGAAACAGGAACAAGAAACAUGAGAUGGAAUAUCACUUGAGACAAUACUUUUCUUUUACAAGGUUAAUCACAGUGAUUAUAUCAAAACUUGCAUCAACUAAAAAAGAAUAUUUUGUCCAAGUAUUCUCGAAAUCUCCCGAGAAGCAAGACAGAGAUGUUAUCACAGUGAAUAACAAAAAGCUAAAGGACUUAGCUUAGAGGUGUUAACAUCACGCUUUGGAAAGGUCUCCCAUCCAUGCAUAUUCCGCACUUAUAACUAGAGCUGCGUAUUAUUGUUGGCAUAGUUGUUUUAUAUAUAUUUCAAGCAACAAACAGAAAGGGAAACAGGAACAAAGAAACAUGAGAUGGAAUAUCACUUGAGACAAUGAAACAGCAACCACGAAUAAGUUCACAAACUUUUUCAGCCGCUCCGCACUUACAACUAGAGCUGCGUAUUAUUGUUGACAUAGUUGUUUUAUAUAUAUUUCAAGCAACAAAUAGAAGGGAAACAGGAUCAAAGAAAUAUGAGAUGGAAUAUCACUUGAGACAAUGAAACAGCAACCACAAAUAAGUUCACAAACUUUUUCAGCCGUUCCGCACUUAUAACUAGAGCUGCGUAUUAUUGUUGACAUAGUUGUUUUAUAUAUAUUUCAAGCAACAAAUAGAAAGGGAAACAGGAUCAAAGAAAUAUGAGAUGGAAUAUCACUUGAGACAAUACUUUUCUUUUACAAGGUUAAUCACAGUGAUUAUAUCAAAACUUGCAUCAACUAAAAAAGAAUAUUUUGUCCAAGUAUUCUCGAAAUCUCCCGAGAAGCAAGACAGAGAUGUUAUCACAGUGAAUAACAAAAAGCUAAAGGACUUAGCUUAGAGGUGUUAACAUCACGCUUUGGAAAGGUCUCCCAUCCAUGCAUAUGUAUUUGUCCAACUUUGUAUGGUCUGAGACUAUUGUUUAUUCAAUCAUCUCAUGUCUAUAGUCAGUGCUCUUUCGCGUGGAAGAAAUAAACAGCUGAAAUCAAUGUAAUGGAGUUGAAGCAAGAGGGCUAUAGGAACCAAUGAGGAGAAGAAAAGGCCAAGGCUUCUACUGUUUUUCACAUGAUUGAAGAAUAAUGGAGGCAGCAUUAUUGCCUUGCAGCAAUUGUAGCAUCACAAAUGACCCCAAUGACGAACUCACGCAGGCAAAUCCAAUAGAAAUCUAUUUUCGGGUAUUUUGAAGAGUUAAAGCAAUAUAACCUGGUAAACAGGGCUAUAAGAAUCAAACAAGAAGCAUUCUAGUUAAUUCUUAAAAUGGUAUCUCUCCGCGUAAAUGUCACCGAUAUAACUGAUAACCUAAAAAGAGUUGCUCCGAGUCCAUUUUCCUUACUUGAUAGGUCAUCCUUGAAUAUUAUGAUGACCCAUCUUAUGAAUCUACGAUUUGUUCAAGCAAUAGUAAGAGCACUUCAAAAGGAGUUACACCACUUGAUUGACUUGAUAUUCAUUCAAAUGUUUGAUACGCUGCUGAAGGGAAUACAUACUUUGGAUGUGGGCUGACAUCACAGGCUUACAACGUGUAUUCUUCCAUCAAUACAUCAAAAUAGCCAUUGGAACAAAUGUAAGACAUAAAGGAAUGUAGGAAAAUAGAGCUCAAACACUAAAGUAGCUUUCAUUUAAGGUGGCAAGUGCAAAGGCAGAAACAUCAUGGUAAUCCAUUUACUCGAUUACAUCCAUCAAGACUAUCAUAACUGACUAAUUCAGCCUUAUUUAGUUGUUUAGAAAGAAAAACCUAACAAAACAGAUAGUAAACUCAAACAAUGUUGAGGAGAAGGUUUAUCAGAUACUAGACACAGCUGAAGGUCAAGGUCUCAAAGUAAGCUCCACGGCAAUAGUGCACAGAAAAACAUGACCAAAACAGUGACACAAGAUGCAUGGGAAAUACUACCAAUCAAACAGGUUAGUAUUUGUUUCCAUUACAACAAAAAACAACAACUAAGAUAGUUUCAAGAACGGAAAUCAACAGUUGAGAUAGUCAGAAGACUCCAUCAAAGUGAAUCCCAGAUAACCAUAUCACCAAAUGACUCUAUCUUAAAGCUUUUAACCAAAUAUUGAACAUAACCAAACCAGUGCAGGUACACCAUUUGAGCUGAACUUAAGCUAAAACACACCAACAACCAAAAAAAAAACAAGGAAAAGUAGAUAAUCACCAACUGAACUCCAUGCAGCCACUACUCAAUGUAUUUGAUAUUCUUUACAUCCCACUUUAGUAACCACCUAUGAUUCUCCAUCCCAGAACGAACAAAGGGGUUCGGAAUCCAAGGGCAAAGCAUCCAACUUUCAUAUAAAUUUUUAAACUUCCCAAAUAAACAGAAAGAGUAAUAUUUCAUUACAACUCAGAAAAUUUCAAACAGGAACCAACAGUUGAGAAAGCCAGUAGAGAACAUCAAAGUGAAGCCCAAAUAACCAUAUCACCUAAAGACUCAAUUUUUAAGCUUUCACACAACUAUUGAACAUAUUCACACACCAAUACAGGUACACCAUUGUAGCUCUACAGAAGCUAAAAUACACAUACACAACUAUUACACAACAUACUUAAUUUUAUGCAGCCACUACUCAACUAUUACAAAUUCUUAACAUCCUACUUUAAAUUAGUAAAUUGCUCACAAAACUGAACAAACAGAAAACAAUAAUCUUGAAACAGAAUAUAUUACUAAUAGUCAAAAUUGGUCAGUAAUAUUUAAGUAAACUUACGAUAACUG
rnacentral:lncRNA from 1 species